rnacentral:ncRNA from 1 species
UGAAAGUAGUGGGGGGACCAGUGCAUGCUGGUUGAGAUUGUAUCCGUUAGAUACUGACCCUUGGAACCUGAUCUGGUUGAAACCAGCGUAGGGAACAUGUUCAGACGAUAA